UGGGUGACGGGGAAAUCUGCCUACAUGCCAAUUAUAUGUUAGUGAGUGAUAGGGGAGGGGGUGGGGGAUGAGAGUGGAUCUAUCUUUCACUCGGAAUGCUAUUCUGUAGCCUGUUACAGACAAGAAGAGCGGAUGGUGCAGUGAAUGAAAAAAAUAGGUUAUCGUGCAAUAAUGUGGCAUCAGUGUUUACGUGUGUGAGUGUGGAAGAAGGCCAGAUACAGUGACAUGGAUUGCUGCCAGCCACGAGGCAUCUGUGCCCACUAGCUGGUGAAUCUGCCGCCAUAUUGGUCGCGUCAAGGUCGUUUCUCUCUCAGUAGGGAGCGGACGGUUGGACAAUACACGAUAUUCAUGAGUCCCGUGAAGCGUAUCCAUCCGUAUUCCCAUUCAAGACUCAAAAGAUGAUUUGUAUCGUAGCGUUGGUUAUGUAAAGAGCAUUAUUACGAGAUGAAACAACUGUGGAAUAAGAAUUAACUCAAAGUGGCAUCUUGAAAAAUAUUCUAGAUAGCGACAACAACUAUAGAAAUAAAACUUAAAAUACGUUACGUCUCACCAUUGUUGGCACCUUGCCAAAUCGGAGGACUUAAGAAAACAAGAAAAUGAAAUUAUUGUUCUCACUGGUAACUGGAAGAUUAGGAGGAAGAGGUCUCCACUAGCACCUGACCAUCCCAGGUCGCAUAAACACGACCUUAUAACCUAUCGAGAAGAACACAGAUGGGAAAACUCGAGAAGUUAGGUGUAAAGCUGUUGUUCUCACUGGUAACUGGAAGAUUAGGAGGAAGAGGUCUCCACUAGCACCUGACCAUCCCAGGUCGCAUAAAACACGACCUUAUAACCUAUCGAGAAGUACACAGAUGAGAAAACUCGAGAAGUUAGGUGUAAAGCUGUUGUUCUCACUGUUAACUAGAAGACUCGAGGAUAUUACGUGUUAAUAACCCCUGUUGGACUAAAAGACUCCAUCUGAUAAAGAAGCAAGAUGUAAAGGUGCCUUAUCGUUCUCCUGGUGUCCAGUCACUACACCUGAUUUGCCUAACAGUUACAGACAAUCCGCUUUUAUUUGUUUGAAACUACAUCGGAAUAUGACCAUCAGCACCCGCAGGAAAGGGACAAAAGGGGGCAUUUGCCCUCCCUUACAUUUCACAAACAAACUGCACGUAUUAUGAUGUAGACUUGACAUCACGUAUUAUGAUGUAAACUUAACAUCAGAAUUGAAGAUGCUGUGGCAUUGCGCUCAUCUUCUGGUUAAGAGAUGGCUUUCUUGAUGGCAAGAGGUUCUUCCUCCCUGGAAUGAAGGAUAACGCGGAAUCCAAUUAAUUUAGACAGUUGUUGGUAAUGCUACUACUAUUGUAGGGAUUAUAGCGUUCCUUUAUUCUACUGCAGUGCCUCCUAGUGGCUGGUCCAACAUGUUCCCGAUUGCAUUUCGGGCACGUGAACUCGUAUACCACUAGUAAGGUGUUCAGUGGAUGGCCACAUAUUACAGUGCAACGCAGUCAAAUAACCGGAAGAUUCGAACUAAAAGCAUCAUUAUCAAAGAAGACACGGUCAAUUUGGGUAACAGCUGACGUAUUCUCUGUACAAGCGAUCCGAAACAGCGCCCGAUUAUUUCGAGUGGACCGAUAAGAACUGUGUGUGCAAGACGAAGAGCUGAACAGUAUAUGUGAUCUCCACUGGGAGUGUUUCUACCGUUCUGACAAGAAAGUUUCGGGAAAUAUCAUGAAACAUGACAUAGCAGCUGUUGACCAGUCAUUAAUCCACCGUAACUGACAGCAUAGCCAACCGCCACCGCGGUGUUUAACUAACUGUUCACAAACUGUUUCUUACUGAGAACUCAUUGUUUUAUAUCUUUUAGCCCCUUGACUACGUGCAAUUGAAAGAAAUAAAAUGUUGUUGUAGAA